AAAUACACCAGUUACCUUACCUGGGUCUGCUGCGUCUGCCUCACCAUCACCUACACCCCACCGUUCCAUGACAGAAGGACGCGACCAGACCGAUUGGUGAGGCUUGCUAAUUAUGGACCCAGCUGUAUUAAGAAGGUUCCCUCCAAAGGGGCAGAGCGGCCCGAGGCGGAGAUCCGGCAGGGAGGAGAGGACACUGGCUGUAGCUCUCUCUGACCUACAGCGGGAGCUUUUCCGGGGAACAAGGCUGGUGUCCUAAGGCGAGCUCAGGGAGGACAGAAACCUCCAGUGGAGCAGAAGGGCAAAAGCUCGUUUGAUCUUGAUUUUCAGUAUGAAUACAGACUG